GGGAUUGCCUUAGUAACGGCGAGUGAAGCGGCAAUAGCUCAAAUUUGAAAUCUGGCGCUUGCGUCCGAGUUGUAAUUUGUAGAGGAUGAUUUUGGUUAGGUACCUUUCGAGUUCCUUGGAACAGGACGCCUUAGAGGGUGAGAGCCCCGUACGAUUGGAUGCCGAGCCUCUGUAAAUCUCCUUCGACGAGUCGAGUAGUUUGGGAAUGCUGCUCUAAAUGGGAGGUAAAUUUCUUCUAAAGCUAAAUACCGGCCAGAGACCGAUAGCGCACAAGUAGAGUGAUCGAAAGAUGAAAAGCACUUUGAAAAGAGGGUUAAAUAGCACGUGAAAUUGUUGAAAGGGAAGGAUUUAUGACCAGACUUUUUCUAGGAGAAUCAUCCGGUGUUCUCACCGGUGCACUUCUUUUAGUUUAGGCCAGCAUCGACUUUCGGCGGCGGAUAAAAGCUUCAGGAAUGUAGCUCCUCUCGGGGAGUGUUAUAGCCUGUUGUAUAAUACGCUGCUGGGGGUCGAGGUACGCGCUUCUGCAAGGAUGCUGGCGUAAUGGUUAUCAAUCACCC
rnacentral:rRNA from 1 species